UAGUGGCAGACGGGUGAGUAAUGUAUAGGAAUCUACCUAGUAGUACGGAAUAAUUGUUGGAAACGGCAACUAAUACCGUAUACGCCCUACGGGGGAAAAAUUUAUUGCUAUUAGAUGAGCCUAUAUUAGAUUAGCUAGUUGGUGGAGUAAUAGCCUACCAAGGCAAUGAUCUAUAGCUGAUCUGAGAGGAUGAUCAGCCACACUGGAACUGAGAUACGGUCCAGACUUCUACGGGAGGCAGCAGUGGGGAAUAUUGGACAAUGGGCGAAAGCCUGAUCCAGCCAUGUCGCAUGAGUGAAGAAGGCCUUUGGGUUGUAAAGCUCUUUUAGUGAGGAAGAUAAUGACGGUACUCACAGAAGAAGUCCUGGCUAACUCCGUGCCAGCAGCCGCGGUAAUACGGAGAGGGCUAGCGUUAUUCGGAAUUAUUGGGCGUAAAGGGCGCGUAGGCUGAUUAAUAAGUUAAAAGUGAAAUCCCGAGGCUUAACCUUGGAAUUGCUUUUAAAACUAUUAAUCUAGAGAUUGAAAGAGGAUAGAGGAAUUCCUGAUGUAGAGGUAAAAUUCGUAAAUAUUAGGAGGAACACCAGUGGCGAAGGCGUCUAUCUGGUUCAAAUCUGACGCUGAGGCGCGAAGGCGUGGGGAGCAAACAGGAUUAGAUACCCUGGUAGUCCACGCUGUAAACGAUGAAUGUUAAAUAUGGGAAGUUUACUUUCUGUAUUACAGCUAACGCGUUAAACAUUCCGCCUGGGGACUACGGUCGCAAGAUUAAAACUCAAAGGAAUUGACGGGGACCCGCACAAGCGGUGGAGCAUGUGGUUUAAUUCGAUGCAACGCGAAAAACCUUACCACUUCUUG
rnacentral:rRNA from 5 species